rnacentral:piRNA from 1 species
UGAAUUUAAUUAUUAAUCAGA